CCAAUGCCAGGGUCAGGAUUAGGACCAGGAAAGAAUGAAAGUCAAGUUUCCACAGACGACGGUGAACACUCCUCCAGAUCGCUCAGAAGUAAA
rnacentral:sRNA from 1 species